rnacentral:lncRNA from 1 species
UCCACCCAUGGCUGAUCAAGUUAUGGUUUCUGAAAUGCCUGAAGCAGUCUAUCAGAAUAAUCUAUUCUCACAGAAUAGAACUGACCGGGUUGGCAGGAGAUGCCAGGUGCUGGCAUGACCUGUUACCUUAAACAGGCACUCAUCCCUAGGAUUGGGAGUGAUCAGAAAAUGAGCAGAGGACCUGAAAGCUAAAAGUCACAUGACACUGUGCUGGCAAGGCAUAGCGAACUGUGUACAAAAUUACAAGAGCAGAAACUCCUCGCCAGAAGACUGCUUGGCUUAAAAACCAGGCAGCUCCCACCCAUGACUGCGUGGACCGGCUCAGCUGCAGGGAACAGGAACUCUGCAUUAGUGGCUUCGCCCAAAGGGAGUCUGGAGUCUUGACACGAGAAGUCUGCAGGCAGCCGAGGCCUGCGGCAGAGAUCUACCACACCGAGAAGUCAUCCAGCGCUUCUUGCUUUCUCCUGCACCAACCUUGACAAGUAGCUUUUGAUCCCCAUUUGUCCAGCCGUGACCACCAAUAUCGUAUUUACUUUUAUGCCAGGAGAAAAAGAAAAUGGUAAUAACUGUAGAACCAUGACUCCAACCAAGCAUCAAAUCACAAGACUCAUGACCAUCUCAGCAUUGGAACAAAGUGAUCGGCUCCAGAAACCAUACCGCAUGACCAAGGGCUGGAGGAAGCGGUAUUCUCCUCAAGGAAGAGAGCAUUAAUGGUGACUGACAAUCUUCCAGUGUGUUAAGGGAUUCUGUGGAAGGAAUAGAAAAUGUCGUCAACAUCAGGAACAGGAGCGGCAGCGUCUGGUGUUGGAUCACUAGCUAAAAUGAAUCCAGGGUUCAUCACUAGCUGGCUAUGUUGUUACUGGGACCAUGGUGAGGCAGAACAUUGAGGCAGAGAAGGGACAAGAACGCUCUCAUGAAAUGCAGUGCUGUUGAUGAGACCACGUUCGGGCUGUUUCAAUUUCUUGAUAGCAUUUUAAGAAAACGUCUGUCUUCUUUCUGAGAUGCUACACUUCAAGAGGAUCACAGUCAUGCUUGCCUUUUUGACCCCCCAUAUAACUAGUGUCCAGUCCAGUGCCUGACACGACAGAGGUUGCAGUGUAACUUUUCCAGAGGAAAUAUGAACACAUAUCUAUUCACCUCAGGAUGACUCUGGUGAGCACGGAGAUUAUCCUGUGGCCUGGCAUACUGGAAGCAUUUAAUGUCUGCAGCUAUCUGCCUCUUGUGUUCAUAUCUGUAUGAAUCUGUUCAUAUGUGAACAUGUGGCACCGUCAAGAGGAAUGAUGGCUUAGCUGAAUAUAAAGUGGUAAUUAAUAAGUAAUAUUAAGGAAGGGUACAGUCUAGUUAUUUCUUGAA